rnacentral:rRNA from 1 species
AGAGUUUGAUCCUGGCUCAGAAUCAACGCUGGCGGCGUGCCUAACACAUGCAAGUCGAACGAGAAAACAGGGGCAACUCUGUGAGUAUAGUGGCGUACGGGUGAGUAACACGUGACUAACCUACCUUCGAGUGGGGGAUAACCCCGGGAAACCGGGGCUAAUACCGCAUAACAUCGCAAGAUCAAAGGAGUAAUCCGCUUGAAGAGGGGGUCGCGGCUGAUUAGCUAGUUGGUAGGGUAAUGGCCUACCAAGGCGAUGAUCGGUAGCCGGCCUGAGAGGGCGCACGGCCACGCUGGAACUGAAACACGGUCCAGACUCCUACGGGAGGCAGCAGUGGGGAAUUUUGCGCAAUGGGGGAAACCCUGACGCAGCAACGCCGCGUGGAGGAUGAAGUCCCUUGGGACGUAAACUCCUUUCGACCGGGACGAUUAUGACGGUACCGGUGGAAGAAGCCCCGGCUAACUUCGUGCCAGCAGCCGCGGUAAUAC